UUGAAGCAUGAUUUUUGGAUGAUUAUAGGGGGGGGGGGGUCAAAAAUCGUCAAAUAUCGAUGACGUCAUUUAUGGACAGCCCCUAAGUACUAUCAAAAAAUUAAAGUCACAAUGCACUUUAUUACACUUGUAACACGGUUUAUUGUCCAAUAAUUUCAAUGGUGUUAGUUAGUGACUUGAUUGUCACCCGACGAUUUGUUUUCGUGUCAGGGCUGGUGCUAAGGUUUGAAAAUGGAACUGAAAUGAAUUGUCAUUUGCCGUAUUAUAUUAUAAAUGCAUAGCAUAGCGAUGACGCGUAUAUUAUCAUUUUUGUUAGAAUUAAUUUAUAAUACUGUUCUAAAUUAAAUGGGCGGUGGCUAUAUUGCCAAAAUAGUCCAAUCUACCUAAAUGCUGUAAACAAUUUUACCGUUCAUAGUAAUAGGGCUGUGGAGUUAUUGUCAAGAAAAUAAUCCUUGCUGAUUGGACUAGUGAUACUGACUGAAUACUAAUGAGUAUAUCGUCAGCUGACAACUAAAACUCACUAAAUACAAGUGCGAAAAAUAGGAAAUUCACAACGAGUGGCGAUAAAUUAAAACACGACCGAAGGCAGUGUCUUAGAUCGACACGAGUUACAAGUAUUCGCACAUGCAUCGUACAACGUUUUACAGUACAUAAUUAUCGCACUAGUGCGGUAAAGUAGCACUAUAUUUACUGUAAAAAUAAUUAACCAAAAAUGAACCUUGUUUUGUUACUAAUACGGUUCACUAUGGCUCUGAACUUGUGGUAUUUUUUAACUGUUAGAUCUCAAGAUCAGACAGUUGGUCUGACUUAGAAAACAAAGUUAUGAUAAUUAUCCUUUUGUACAUAGGUAUAAAAAAGAUACUAAACGCCACUUGCACCAUCCCACUAACCCGGGGAUAACCGGUUAAACCUGGAGUUACCAGUACAAGACAAGACACUGGGUCAACGGUUUGGUUAACCCUGGAGUUACCAUGGUUACCAGUACAAGACACUGGGUUAACGGUUUAACCGGUUAACCCCGGUUUAGUGGGAUGGUGCACCUGGCGCUAAGAGGAGUAGAAGAUUGAAAUAAAGGAAAGUCGCCAAGUUUUUUAUGAAAUGAAGUUUAGACAGGAUUUGGUUUAGUCACUAUUUUUUAAAUAACAGUAAUUCACUUCGUGUCGUGUUGUAUGGCUGCGUGAUUUCAUAAUUGCUGAAUCACGAAGUGAAUAUCUGGGUUUAUAGUCCGUUUUUUAAGUAUUAGAAAAAAAAGUAAACAAUCUUGAGGUGUCUUUUUCUAAUACUAAAAAAAACGAACUAUAGGCAUAAAAAUAACACAAUUGCAGUCAAAAGUACGGAGUUUUUGAUAUAUGGUAGCCGGCGUUUCAAUAUGGGACAAAUGACCCUUUUUCUCAGUUAAAUGUAUUCCCACAAUAUUUGUAAAAUAUGUUCAGACCUAUUUCAUAUAAAAAAAGUUUGAUUUGAUAAUGCUUUUCUAUAUAAUAGUCUUUAUAUGAUCAAUUAUCAGCUUAUUUUAUAUGAAAUAGAUUUCCAUUAAGAAAGUAAUAUACAUAUAAGGUAUAUAUUCUAAAUUUUGAAAUAAAUGUAUCAUAUUAAAUGUGUUAAAUAGAUUAACUAGCAAAUUUAUACUGUUUGAGUUGUACUCUAACUACAUAUGUAAUUUUAGAUUAAAUAAAAUUACUUGGAACUAUUAAUGGGCAUUUUCAUUUAUAAUUUUAAGCCAAAAAAAACUUUAAAUACACUUUGAUCGAAAAUUCAAUUUGGAUUUCUGGGUCCCAUUUUCGCCGGUAACCAUUUGGUGGCACAGUUUAAAUGAAAAUACCCAUAUUUUAAAAUAAUAUCCACUCAACUAAAUGUAAGAUAAUAGCUCACGAAACUUUAAGUUACAUUUUCUCAGUCAAACGGAUCUGGCGGCACGGCAGUGCCCCCGCCAAGUCGAGCAUUUCCUUUACCGGAAUAAGUGAGUUGCUUACUUAUUCCUCUAUGCUGGAAUUGGAAUUCAUGGAUCAUAACUUUAUAGAUAAAUCAUGGAUGGAACAGUACAGCGAGGUGCAAAAGUGCAUACCACUUUGUUAACCUUUUCGACGCCGUGUCAAACACAAAAGCUGUCACUCGGACGACAAGUCACCGAAGUGUCAAAAAUGAAAUUGAACUUUAUGCAUAUGCACGUAGGUCUAUGUUGCUCUGUGGUCUGUGACCAAUUAAUCCGUCUUUGGCGUUGAACCUGCGGUGCGGAUAUAUCGGUCAUUGGCGUCCAAAAGGUUAAUGAAUUCCUUAAAUUGUGUGCAGUUUUGCAACUCGCUGUGCCUAUACGAUUUGACAAAAACGGCGCUAUUUUAAUAUCUUUAAUAUAUUAAAUUUUCUUUUGACAUUACACUCACUAGCUUUGUUAACGAUAACUAUAAAUAUAGGUAUAUUUAUGUAAGUAUAUCUGGGUCAUGUACAUAGGUACAUGGAAACGCUUACAUGCAAUAUACAUGGAAGAGAAAUCUGUGUUAGAAUUCAGAGUUUGGCUAAUAGACAUUAUCCUAAAACCUAGCUCUUAAAGAAAUACGUUGUUUUUGGUCAGGCUGAAAAUGUAAAUAAGUACAUAGUUAUAAAACUUAUAUUACCUAUUAUAAAUGUUAUAUUUAAUAACAGAUGUAUUCAUGUUUUUUACCUUUACAUCCAUCAUAAUGACUUAUAGUUUGUAAGUUGGGGCUUUAUGUUAAAUAUCCAAGGUCUUCAUAACAAAACUUCUGUGAGACACAGACAUACAUAUUAGAUAUGUAUAUGAAUAAGUUUUUGGCACAAAUUUCAUUUUUGGUACAAGCUUUUAUCGCUGACUGUAUUUUUCUUACGACAGACAGCUAAUACUCAUAGAGGCAAUUCUAAAAACCCCUAACACAAUUCGGUUGUUUCAUCACAGAGUUCCUAUGGCCACCUCCUGUCUCCAUCAUCAGAUCAGCUCGAUGGUACCAUAAUAUUGCAUUGUCAUCCGAUUUAUACAUGCAUGCAAAAUUUCAGCUCAAUCGGCAACCGGGAAGUGGAUCAAAUUUAACUUGCAAGAUUUGAUUACAGACUCACAACGGUCAGGUGAAACUAAAUAAAAGCUUGUAAAAACGGGUCAACUAAAUUUUAAGUCGAAGAACGCUCGACAUGUUUCACUCCGUACCGAGUAGUAUCGUCUGGAGCUGGCGUUGGCGAACCGGCGCAGAUGGCUGACUGCUUGCUGAGUGUUUUUCGACUUAAAAUACGUGAGUGACCCCUUUUUAAUAUAUUUAGUAUAUCCAUGGUCUUGUUCAGAAAGCUGAUAAAUUGAAAGUUGCAUUUAUUUUAAAAUGUAUUCUCAUAUCUUUUUUUUUUCUCAUAUCUUAUACAUCCUAGUAUCAAUUUAGUUAGCCUGCCUUGAAAUCAAAAAAUAUCACAUACAGAUAUAACUAAGAUAGAUAUGUUAUUUAACUUUAUAGAAUUUAAAUUACUGUCUAAAAUGUAAACUUUCAAAUUUAAUUUAGUAGGUAUACCUGCAUAACUGCAGGUAGGUUAGUGAAUUGGCUAUCUUUUUUUGUUAUAUGAAGUAGGUUUUAUUUUGUUUAAAACUAGUGUAUAUAGUAUAAAUGUAAUAUUUUCGUAUAUGUAUGUUGUUGUAAAUACAUACUAUAUUUGUAUGAAAUGUGCUAACGCAAACUGGUUUGCCUUGAGGCGACUUUUUACGUGAAAAGGUGUUUUAUUCUUAAAAUAACUUAUUAAACUUUAUAUAUUACCUUUUGAUCGUCGGUUUUUCCUAUAUUACGCGAAACGAAAGCGUAGGGGGCGCCACUACCACAAUCGGAGGGUCUACCGCGAAACGAGAAAAUCGAAAGUUCGUUAUCUAACCUCUCUAUCACUCUUGCAUACUCGUAUUCGAGCAAUAAAGAGGCAGAUAACUUAAUUUCGAUUUUCGCGUUUCCCGGUAAGCCCGUAAACAAACCGCCUUGAUGCAUCAAUGUCAUAUUCUAUUAUCUGUGAAAACUUGUUAAAAAACAGUUUAUGGCACAGUAUGUAUAAGUUACCCUAUGGUUUACGAUAAGCGCUAGUGCUGCACUCUGGCGGCAGAACAUUGCAGUAGGUAUUACCCCCUAUUGGCAAGGUGCGAAGUCGGUGGAGAGAGAAGUGGGGCUGAUUGUCACAACAAACACACGUAAUCUUAUAGAAUAUUUCACAUUAAUGCUAGCGGCAGCCGUUGGAACUAAUUUUAUUUCAUAAGAUUUAAUGUUAAAAACCCAUAACGUUAAAUGAGGACAGUACCUGUCGUGCACCUAGCGAAUAUGAAAAAAAAACUAUUAAUAAGUUUAUUUUCAAGACGUGCGUGACGAUUAAUAAGUUAAAACAUAAGUUUGAAUUCCUGAAUAAGACCUCUGCAUAACUCUUAUAUCGCCAUAGUUUAUAGUAUACUAAUGAGUAACUAACUAUUUAUGUAUAAGUAGAUUUUGACUAAAGAUAUAACUGAUUAAAGCUGUGUAAAUGGUUUCUAAUUGUGGUCAUAUGGUAAGCUUGAUUUUAGAUAUUUUAAUAGAAGAUAAAAUAAAGAUUUUACUAAUACUGUCUUACUAAAGUUGAAUGUGUAUUCGGCCUUACGAAGACAGUAGGAUACUCGUCCACACAAACGUAGUGCCGAUUUUUUUUCUACUAGAACUAAAAAAACUAUUGUGCAUAGCUUAGCCGUGCGCCGCAGUGGGGUUCAAACUCAUUUAGUUUGGCAGAAUACCCGUGUGCUUAAGGCGAUGUGCCUUUUUGCAACACUUGGAUUUUUUAUUUGGUUAGAUGUUGUUAAAUUAAAGAUUUGUUAGUAU